AUUUAUAUUGCAUAAUAAAGGUUGCAAGAGGAAACCAAAUUUCAUUAAAGCAGUUACAAGAGCAGUAAUAUAUUACUAUAUUUAUAUAAUAUAUAGUAUUGUAUAGGUAAUCGAUCAUAUUAGAAGCUGUUGACAACUAAGUUUCGACAACUCUUAUUUCAAGGAAUUAUCUAGCUCAUAUUGACUCAAUUUUGACGGAUAAUUGGUGGGGGUGGUCGCGUAUUGUUCAAACUUGGUGGUGGUGGUGGAGGAAGAUUGUUUCGACCUGGGGAUGGUGGUGGGGGAGGAUUGUUUCAACUUACUAAAGGUGGUGGUGGAUGGAUGUUCUAAGGUAGUGGAACUUGGGGAUUGUUCCAACCACGUGAUGUGGUGGUGGAGGGCUGUUUUGACCAGGCAAAGGUGGUGGCGGUCGAUUGUUUGGCUGGGGUGGCGGUUGUAUUUUUCCGACCUGGUGAUGUUGGUGGCGGUGUAUUUUUCCGACCUGGUGAUGGUGGUGGCGGUGGAUUAUUCUGAGGUGGUGGUGCUCGUUGAGGAUUGUUUCGACCUGGUGAAGGUGCUGGAGCAGGGUUGCUCUGACUUGGUGAUGGUGAUGGUGGUCGAUUGUUCAAGGGUGGUGGUGCUCGUGAAGGAUUAUUUCGUCCUGGUGAUGGGGCUAAUGAUGGAUUGUUCUGAGGUGGUGGUGCUCGUGGAGGACUGUUCUGUCUUGGUGGUGGGGCUAGUGGUGGAGGAUUCUUGUGAGGUGGGGGUGGUGGCGGAUUCUUCGGAGGUGGAGGUGGUGGUAUAAACAUUGAUUGUUUGGCUGGGGUGGCAAUGGAUUGUUCUGACUUGGUGAUGUUGGUGGCGGUGGAUUUUUCCGACCUGGUGAUGGUGGUGGCGGUGGAUUAUUCUGAGGUGGUGGUGCUCGUUGAGGAUUGUUUCGACCUGGCGAAGGUGCUGGAGCAGGGUUGCUCUGACUUGGUGAUGGUGAUGGUGGUAGAUUGUUCAAAGGUGGUGGUGCUCGUGAAGGAUUAUUUCGUCCUGGAGGACUGUUCUGUCUUGGCGGUGGGGCUAGUGGUGGAGGAUUCUUGUGAGGUGGGGGUGGUGGCGGAUUCUUCGGAGGUGGAGGUGGUGGUCGUCUCACUACAAUAGGAGGAAGAAAUGGUGGCUUGUAAAAUGAUGGUAGCCAUGGCUUGGGAAAUGGUUGUAUAAAUAUUGAUGGCUUGUAAAUUUCAUGUCUUAUGGGAGUGACUUGUAGCUUGUCAUCCUCAUCGUAUUGGGCAUUGGAUGAAGUUGUGAUAAGAAUAACCACUACAAGAAAUAGCACAAACAACUUUUAGUAAGUCAUCUCUGCUCUUCUUGUGUUACAAAAUGAGAAGGGGCGUCAUUUUAUAGGGGUAGGAAUGAUGGGUUUUGUGUUAAUAAUUUUGGUCAAUAGGCAAUUGGUAAUUCAUAGGCUCCAAUUGGGGUAGUAUCUGCCCAACUGGUCUAAUAACAUUGCUUUUAUGGUAGGGGAGGCUCAAAAUUUUCAGCAUGCUUUAUAAAUUGUAUUCCUUAUUCCUAAAUUGUUCAACAAAUAUAUAUAUAUAUAUAUAUAUAUAUAUAUAUAUAUAUAUAUAUAUAUAUUUGUUUAAAAAUUUAGUAAAAAAGGUGUAGUCUAGCAAUCUUGUUCAAGUGUUUGGAAAUUGUUGGAAGUUUUGAGACUCUUGUCCCACAUUGGUGAAAACAAGAUUCCAAAGUACCUUUAUAUAUGUUUUGUCUUUUACAAUAUUAGUUAUGUGUUGGACCACUUGGAAUGGGAAUUGAGGCUUGAGCCACCAUUUCCGUGGAUUGGGCUUGAUGAUUAUACUAUAAUAUUAAUAUAUAUUAAUAUAAAUUAAUAUUAAUUAAUCAAGACAAGGGUCAUUAAUAUGAUCAAUUAGUUUUAAUUUCAAAUUAAGUUUUUAAUUAAAUUAAUUAAAAAUGUUUUGAUUAAAGAUACAACCUUUUGUAGAGAGUUGUAAAGCUUCAGAUACAUCCAAAAUGUAUUUGAAGAUGUAUGAAAGAGCCUAUAUAACUGGAGUCCUCAGUUCAUCAUCUUUCAUCUUUUUUUCUUCAUUUUCUUCCGUACAAACUUUCUAGAGAGAGUAAACACACAAAGCAAUUCGCUAGAAUUCUAUAAUCCAGUGCGGGUUGUAGGAUUAGGUAGUUGUAUCCUGAUCGAGCAGACGUUAUAGAACCACAAGCACAAGAGUGGGACGAAAUUACUGUUCGAAGGACAUAGUUUUUACGCUAGCCUCUACCUUCUGUAAUUAAGUUAGUACUGUUGAUAUUCUUAUAUUAAUUUCUAUAUUUAUUGUAUACUUUUCAUUCUGUAUAGCAAGUACUUUUUGUGAAAUAAAAUUGUGAAUUUCAAGUUCUGUUUAUUUCUGUUAUAUUGUUUAUUUCUGAAUUGUUCUCCAACAGGAAAAACACUAGAAAAGAUUGAAAAAUGAAUGAGUUUUUAAUUGUCUUUAUUAUUUAAUACCAAGGUUAUCUAACUUAUAUUGACAUUCGAUACUCCAUCAUUCCAUUCUUAAGCGGAUCCGACUUACAAAAACGGCAUUCCAUCAUGAUCCAUACCGCGUGCGAGUGAAGCAUAAGCUCUGUUUGUUUGGAAAGUCUAUGAAUGUUAAUUAAAAAAAAAAAAAACUUCUGUUAUAAUUCGAGCAGCAUUUUGUUUGAAUCGGAUUUCCAACAUUUGCCUUUUGUAUUUGAAUCCAAUCAAUUUUCUUUUCUUCUUAAAUGUUUGGCCUUAAACUGUCAUUUUCCUCUUAAUCGGUCGUCCCUUUCUGUUCAACCCUUCUCUUUAUGUAAAUGGCAAGAGUUUGGCCACUGGGUAAUUGGGGUAUAGCCAUUGACGAUUGGACAUUUAAACUCUAAGCUUAGCAUACAUGGAUGGGGUUAAGCAUCCUAUUCCCCAUCCCCUUGCUAAAUAUGUUGGUAGGAUACAGGCCCGGUCUAGAGAUUUUUGAGGUCCGGGGCGACGCUAAAAAAUAUGCCUUAACUUCACAUAAGAAAAUUAUUUAUUUUCACAUAAAAGACAUCGAUAAAAUUAUACUUAGAAAAACAUUUCGAACUCAAUAAUUUUGAAACACAGAAAGACUAAUUUAUUUUGUAUCAAGAGAAGGAAACCAAAAAAAUUCCUGGCUUCCAAGUAGAUAAAUGAGUUUUGUCUACCAUCUGAACUUUUAAAGUGUUUUUGUAUAAAUCGUGAGAUGUUUUUUCUUAUUUACUAACCUUGUCAAUAUGGGACUAAAAAAAUAAUAAUGUUUUCGAGUCUUUAAUUGAUAUGUAUAAGUAAUGAAUGGGCACUAACUUAAACCUUAUGAUGAUACGUCAUAUGAUUUGUAAAUUUGCUCUAAAAAUUUGGUCUACGCAUUACUUUUUGUUGAAUAUUAGACUUGGAUUUGAACGAAUAUUUAAAAAUAGCAACCCAUAUAGCUACUAGCUAGUAACUAAAAAUAAAUUAACAACCAAACAAAAAUUUGUUAAAAUUGAAAAGAAUAAACACGCACAUAUCAUUUCAAACUUAGGAGCUCUCAUUAAUUUUAAACAACAAAAUCAUUGCUUUUAAUUAAACUUCUUGAGUAUUUAACCAAAUUUUAUAAAUUUAUACUCUUAUGAAAAAAAAAUUGUAAAACUUGGAAAGUAAAUAAGCACACAUGGUGUCUUGAACCCAAGACCUUCUUAUUAAUUUCAAAUUACAAAACCACCACUUCUAGCUAACUUCCUUUGUCAUUAAACCAACUUUUUAAAAUUUAUACUCUUAUAAAAACAUAUAUAAAUAUACCACCCGAAUAAUUUUGAUGCCCCAAAUUUUUUUGGGCCUUGGACGGUCGCCCUGCCUGCCUUGGGCCUGGGCCGACCCUGGCAGGAUAUGUAAAGACUAAGAAGCGUUUGGUGCUGAGGAUUGGAUUGAAAUGCAUAAAACAUUUCAAGGUAUGUUGAAAGAAAAAUCGAAAACAUUGUGGCCAACUUGGAAGUAGGAAUCAAUAAGAAAUUUAGAGCUGAUUUGGGAUUAUGGUGCUUAAAAAAAAAGCAACAUAUUAAAAAAUUUGGAACAUCAAAUGUGUUUGGUAAAACAAUUUUUUUUUUUUAAAUUUGAUGUCAAUAAUAGUAGAAAAGCAGAAGUAGAGCCUACCAUGCUUAUAAAAAAACUGUUUUUUUUUAAACAUAGUGAUCAGUGCCAAUUUAAUGAAAUUUUCAAAUGGCAAGUAUACCCCCCAAAUUUUACAAAAUUACAAUCUUUACCCUUACAAUAUUCUCUUUGGUAAUUAUUAUAUCACACUAAAUACCGUAUCUUUUUUUAGUCAUUUAACAUAUUCACAACAAUUUUAUAUAAAAGUUUACCAAACACUUAGACUUUUUUUUUUUUUUUUUGCUAUAAGCAAUUUUACAAAAAAAAAAGGUUACCAAACACUCAACAAUUUUAUAUUAUAGCUGUUUAUUCUCACAUCACAGUAGAAGAAUAUUUUUUUUAAAGCACAACAAUACCAAAUUAGCCAUUAUUCACUACAAUCAUUCCUAAAACGGUAGGAUGAAAGGAGAAAUUAAUUCAUGUUUAGCCCCUUUAAUCCGAUCCUCUAUAUGAAAUGAGACCUAAAUUUGUGGUGUCACUUAGUAUUACGAUUUAGAGGUAUUUUUCUUCACUUAUAAGUGAGAGAUGUUUUUUUUUAACCAACGAUAUUAUCUACACUAAGGAGGUGGGGGAAUGCACCAAGCCUCACAAUGGGCUAGCAAUAAUGUAGUUCAAAUUCGCCUUUGGCAAGAGUUGCAUGCAUAUAUGGAGACGACCUAUUCGACCUUCAAUGCCACUAAUAUUGUCCUACAACAACAAUAUAGGGUACCAAAUUUCACCAAAUUUUCAAAUUUGAUCUCUGUUUUACUUCUUUCUGAAAAGCAAAACCAACUUUUGAUGAAAAAUCAUCAAGCUCAACCCAUUGGCUUGAAUGCUACGCUUGAAGCGCAUGCGACUAAUUUUAACAGCCACAAACAACAGAAGAACCAUCGUAGCCAUGGAAAUGGGCGGCAACUCCAGCCACGGGUGCAAGGUCAACAAAGCAAAGGCCUUGCCAAGGGAGGCCCCUAACUUCAAGAACAAGGGAAAAGCUACCAUUUAAUCGAAUUCCACUACAUUGGACAUGUGCUACCGUUGUGGAUCAAUGGACCAUUGGGCAUGCGUAUGUUGAGCUACCCCUGAGACUAUUGCCAAGUAUCAUUCCUGUCAUGAGUCUAAUUUUGCACAUGUGGAACAUCCCGAUGAUACUACCACAACUAUAGAGGUUUCAAAUUUUCAGGUGGCUAGCAUUAUGUCUCUCAGGCAUCGAAUUUACUACAUCUCUCUCCAUUUUAUUGUUCUUUUGUUUCUCUCAGACAUCGAAUCUGUCAUCUCUUUCCAGCCCAAUACUUAUCAUUUAUAUGUAUUCACAAACUUAUGAUUCAAUCGUAUGACAUGUUCUGGCAAUUUCUGUAUUUGUAAUGCAGGUCUCACAGCCAUAGGCUUCAUUUUUCAGUGAUGAGAAUCUGGAAACCAUGGCUAUCAAGAAAGAAUUCUCAUUGGAGGAGGUUAAGAAUGAUGAGGUGGAUAACUAUGCAUGUUCAUACAAUUUUGGGGGUGCCGACCCGGCGGAGGGAGAGGAGAACGAUUAUGGAGACGGGGGUAUGGACAUGGAUGACAGAGGCAAUGGCGAUGACUAAGUAUCAAUAUGAUAAUGUUGCUUUGGUCACAUGGAGCCGUGUGAGAUGAAAGUCUCAUGCACCGUUUUGAAUGAGAAAGGAGUGAGGAAUCCUCUUUUUGACUAUGACCCCCACUCCAGUUGUUGCUUUUCUUUCUAUUACUUCAAAAGUAGCUGCUUUAGCUUUAACCACCCAAUUUUUUUAUAUUCGUUUGGGUGGGAGACUUCUUGUGUAAGUUAAACUACCGUCAGCUAUUUAGAUGCGUCAAGUCCCACCCCCACCCCCACAUAUACCGAUUACUAUUACAAUGGAAAACAUAGUUUUGUCUUAACUUUUGUGCCGAUUAUACUGACUACUAUUCUUGUCUCGUCUUCACUUGUAUGUGAUACGUAUAAAGUUCGACUUAUAUGGAUGUGUGGUUGCUCAAGCCUUCAUUCCUUUAGAUAUAAAAUAAAUAGUAUCAAAAAAAUUUGUACUGGUUGUCACUAACAUUGCUGUUUAGUAGUAAUUAUUUUAUCACUUACAAGCUGAAAGCCUUGAGAGGACUCUUAACACUUGUUGCUGUUUAGUAGAAAACUUUUGUAGGAGUUGUAUUUUGUCUUAUACGUAGAAUUAACGUUUCUGAUCAGAAACGAUAAGUUUUCUACUAAAGUUUGGUGACAACCGCUACUGUUUCUUAUAAGAAUAGAAAAUUAAGGGUGUUUGUACCAUACUUGACCAAUCCCGAAACUACUGAGUACUGGUCAAUGUUAUACCGUCAAGGACCCAUAAGAGUUUCCCUCCAACCAUGAGGCCAAUCACAGCGCAACAUGUGUUGACAUUAGAAGCCAAUCAUAGCGCGACACGUGUCAACAUCAGAAGCCAAUCACAACACGACACGUUCAAUGUCAAAACAAAGCUAGAAACUCUCUUCUAUAAAAGGAGAUCAUUCUCCCACAAUAUUUCCUAAUAUCAUUUGUACUAAAUCAUUCACUAGUACUCACUAAAGGAGAGCUUCAACCUAUGUACUUGUGUAAACCCUUCACAAUUAAUGAGAACUCCUCUACUCCGUGGACGUAGCCAAUCUGGGUGAACCACGUACAUCUUGUGUUUGCUUCCCUGUCUCUAUCCAUUUGUAUACUUAUCCACACAAGUGACCGGAGCAAUCUAGCGAAGGUCACAAACUUGACACUUUCUGUUGUACCAAAGUCCCCACUGAUUUUGUGCAUCAACAAAAGGUGUGUUUGUUUGCCUUCACUAAAUCUCCUUGGACUGGAAUGGACUAGCUAUUAGUCCAAUAUCAUAUUUGUUACACAAGGAAUAGAUUUAAUGAGAUUAGAGCCGACUCGUCCCGACUAAGUCCUUUGUUAAAAGGUCUUAGCAAGAUCCCCCAAUAAGCACUGGAUUACUAAGACCAUUCGUGUCCUCGUCCAGUCGUUCUCCUCGCUUCUUUGUUCUGGUCUGGUCAGCCGACCUCGCCAGACCACCCCACCGACAGCGAUGGCGACGAUCGUCGACGAGAUGUAUUUGUUUUUGGCUCCGCACUUCUUUGACUUCAUAAAGGACGAGAGCGAAGCCGAGUCUACCAUAGAAAGCUCUUCAUUGCCCGCGGCAUGGCCAUUCACGUUAAUUGGAGGAGGGGAUGAGGAUGGGUCAUCGGAGAAGAGAGGUUGGAUGAGGAGACGAUGGUGGGCUCGCGGCUAGAGGAUUGAUUCAGAGAUGAAGGAUCUCAAUUACGCAGAGAUCUGAUAGACUGAUUCGCUUAUUUCCAUUUUUUCCCCAAUUUUUAAUCUUUUCCCCAUUUUUUAUUUAUUUAUUUUUUUAUCUUUUUGAUUUAGGGGAAAUUUAUCGACAGUGUGGAUUUAUUGUUUGGUUUGAUUUGAAUUGGGCAAGUAAAUCUUUGGUUUUUUUUUUUUAUAUAGAAAACGAACUUUUGGAGUGGAUUAUGAGUUAAUUUGUAAUUUCUCCUCCUGCGUAUUUUUCAAUUUAGGAUUUGAUUGUAGGUUGUUAGAAUUUGUAUGAAAUUUUGUUGUUAUGAUUGUAUACGGUCCAUUUUUCACUGGUUUUGUUAUCCCAUUUCUUAGUUCGACACUUCAUUAAACGUUUCACUAAGUUAGUCUAGCUUAGUCUAUUUUAAGUCAGUCCAGCUUAGUCCCAGAAGUUAAUCCAAUUCGAGAUAAUCCGGUACAACAAAUGCACCCUAAGUAUGACGCAUCGUGCUACAAUGAAUAGGGAAAUCGAAUGACUAUUUUGCUUUGUUAUUAAGGUUUUGGAGGCAAUCUCCUUGGUCGAUGUUACAAGGCGCUUUAUCGAGGCAUUAGCUCUGCAGUUUGGAAGACCAGUGGAAGCUGAUUCGGUAGGCAUCCUGGGCAUGUAAUGCUCUCUGCAAAGUUCUUGAAACGUUAAGACUAAUUGUUCAUGUCUAAUUCAUAAAGCUUAUUAAGUCUUGCAUGUUUAUGUUUAAUCUAAACAUCAUUGGUGGAUUACAUGUUAGGUGUACGUAAUUACUUGAACAUCACGAAGAGAAUACGCAUUAAUAAAACUUAACCUUUAAAGUUGCAUAUUUUAACUCAUAAGUAAUUUGUAGAACUGCAUAGGAUUGUUAAUGGUGGGUGCUAAACCUUAGUGCUUUUUCACAUUUGAUUUCUGUCCAUAACUUUAUUUUAUUUUAUCUCUCAUUGCCAAUUUUCGUUAGUCAAAUUUAAUUAUUUUAUUUUCUGUUCUUUUACUUUAAUUCACAAUUUCAAAAUUUUUCCAAAACUUAUGUUGUAUACUUAACUAAGAAUUAGUUUCAAAUACAAAUUAUUCAUAUUGAUCCGAUAGAGAACGAUCUUACUUGAGCUGUUUAUACUAUAAUAACCUUGUUCUCUUGUAAGUAUUUUUAUGUGUUUUAAUUCCUAUUUUUGCAAGUGGUAAAAAUCCAACCACUCUCAACAUCAACAUGUUUGAAUCUGAAUUAGUUUGCCAGCCAGAAUUAGUUGGCCAACUAGUCCAAUCCAAUUCACUAGUCUAGUCUAAUCCAUUCUUGUCCGGUCUAGUCCAGUUCGCUAUAAUAGCUCUUUUGCUUGAAAGCUCGCUUGAAUUGUCUUGCCAUAUUGGCCUAAUAGAGCUUGCAUCCGCAUCUACUUGUUGGCAAUUCAUGUCGUGUACCGCCAUGAAUUUGAUACGGGGUGUUGGAAUAUUAGUUAUUAUUUGAUUGUCUAGGUUUGGGUCUCACCUAUCUGAUUAGGAUUCUUUAGAUUUUGCAUUCCAUAAAUAUAGCUUGUAGUUUAGUAUGAGAAUUAAGUUAGUCAAGAUGUAGGCCUUAGUUUGUAGCCGUCUCUGCAUUCUUAUUAUUGUUUUCCUGUUAAUAAUAUUCAUAAUUUAUAAAUUGUUUGUGUUAAGUUUUAGUAAACUGAUAUAUACAGGAAUUGGAUUUUUAGAGGAAGCUGAAAAGACAGAGAGUGAGAGGCAAAGUUUCUUCAACUGCAACUCUGUUACAUUGCAGAGAGCAACAUUUCAUUCAUCUACAUUCCUUUCUUUUACAUCAGAAAUCAUAUCCGUUCAAUUACAUGAGCCAAUGUGAUUUUGACACAUGGCAGAACAAAGCAUAUGAGCCAUUGAAAAGAUACCUGAUCUAAAAUCACACACUUGGCAUAUGAGCACAAGUUAUCACAACAUAAAACAGCUACACAAUAGAACAAAGAUAAAAUAGAUAAGUAAAUCAUUUACUAACUUGAAAUUAGUAAGCAAUUUACUUUUCAACACUCCCUUCUAAAUUGUUAAUUGAUUUCACACCCAGUAAACUUCUCAAGUUGUUGAAUCUGUCUUUGGGAAGAGCCUUGGUAAAGAUGUCUGCAAUUUGUUCUUCACUCUUGCAGUAAAUCAGAUCAAUGGUACCUUCUUGAAUUGCAUCCCGAAUAAAGUGAAACUUCCUGCCAAUAUGCUUGGUUCUUUGAUGAAACACAGGAUUCUUAGACAUAGCUAUAGCUGAAGUGUUGUCACGGAAUAGCGUUGUUGCUGCAGCUUGCUCUUCUCCAAAGUCCUUGAGCACAAACCUAAGCCAAAUGGCCUGAGAUGUUGCUUCAGCUGCACUAACAUACUCUGCUUCUGCAGUUGAAAGAGCUACACUAUGCUGCUUGACUGAAGCCCAUGAGAAUGCCCCACUUCCAAAUGAAAAAGCAUACCCUGAGGUGCUUUUCAUAUCCUCCUCAGAUCCACUCCAGUCACUAUCGCAAUAUCCAAUCAGCAAAGCAGAUUUUCCAUUCAAAUAUUCAAUUCCAAAGUCAAUUGUUCCUUGAAUGUACCUUAAGACUCGUUUAGCAGCUCCAUAAUGUUUCUUGGUAGGCUUGUGCAUAAAUCGUGCAAGUACACUAGCAGAGAACAUAAUAUCUGGUCUAGUUGCUGUUAAAUACAAAAGACUUCCAACUAUUUUCCUGUACUCACACUCAUCUGCAGGUUCACUUCCAUCUUCUCUUCUCAGUUUAUCAGUUGCAACCAAUGGAGUGCUCACUGGUUUGCAAUCUUUGAGCCCAAAUUUAUCCAAAAGAGUUAGAAUAUAUUUUUUCUGAUGUAUAAAUAUACUCCCUUCAGUUUGAGUUACCCUCAUUCCAAGAAAAUGAUGAAGUAAACCCAAAUCUGACAUCUCAUAUUUGCACAUCAUUUCAGCUUUGAAUUCUUCCAUCAUUUCUGCAUUGCUCCCUGUGUACACAAUGUCAUCAACAUAGAUUGACACGAUCAAGGUACCAACACCUUCCUUGCUUCUCACAUAUAAAGUUGCUUCACUUGAGCUUUUGUGAAAUCCACAGUGAAUUGAAUAAAUAUGUGUCUAUUUCACUGUACCAGGCCCUUGGUGCUUGUUUUAGACCAUAGAGAGCCUUUCUCAGCCUAUAAACCUUGUCUUCAGCCCCUUUAAUCACAAAACCAUCAGGUUGAUCAACAUAUACUUCCUCCUCAAGAACACCAUUCAGAAAGGCUGAUUUAACAUCUAAUUGCCACAGUUUCCAACCUUUCUGUGCAGCUAGUGCAAUGAGUGUUCUAAUAGUAUCUAACCUUGCCACUGGAGCAAAGGUUUCAUUAAAAUCAAUCCCUGGUUUCUGUGUGUAACCUUUGGCUACAAGCCUUGCCUUGUGUUUUUGAAUGGAGCCAUCAAGAUUCAGCUUUGUUUUGUAUACCCAUUUCACACCCACAACAGGUUUACUACUAGGUCUGUCAACUAAUUCCCACGUGGAAUUCUUUUCAAUCAUCAAUAUUUCUUCUGUCAUAGCCUUUUUCCAAGCAUCAUCUUUGACUGCCUCAUUGAAAUCUUCAGGUUCAAUGAUGCUCAUGUUGCAUUGAGCAUAUACUUCACUCAAACUCUUCCAUUUCUGUGGAGUAUGGUCAUAACUUUCAGAUAUUGGAACUGGAGAACCAAGUGAACCAGGUUCUUGAGAUGCUUGCAGAUCUCCAGUUGAUUGUGAUCUCAGAGGAGGCUGCAUUGACUGAGGUGAAUAACUUGAAUAUGGCUCAAAUUCAGAUAUCCUUGAGUUUCUUUCAUCAUUCAAAGAACUAGGAACUUGAACUGAUUCAUUAGUUUUCCAGUCCCAUAUCACUUUCUUAUCAAAGAUUACACUUCUUGAUAAUUCAACCUUUUGAGUUCUCAAGUUGAAGAUUCUAUAUCCUUUUUCACAAUUUCCAUAUCCAACGAAUACUCCUUUCUCACCAGUUUCCUCCAGUUUGUGUCUUUUCUGUGAAGGAAUGUGAAUAUAACACAUGGAACCAAAUAUCUUCAAAUGUUUGACACCUGGCUUCCUCCCACUAAAUGCCUCAAAUGGAGUUAUGUUGUUAAGAGCACUUGUUGGACAUCGGUUUUGCAGAUACACAGCUGUGUUGACAGCUUCAGCCCAAAACUUCAAGGGAAUCUUCUUUUCAAUCAUCAUAGUUCUUGCCAUUUCAAUUAUUGUCCUAUUCUUUCUCUCUGCAACACCAUUUUGUUGCGGAGAGUAGGCAACAGUCAAUUGCCUUUCUAAUCCCAUAUCUUCACAGAACCUUGAAAACUCUAGAGAUGUAUAUUCUCCACCCCUAUCACUUCUGAGUUUCUUGAUUUGAUAGCCACUUUGUAGCUCAACCAUGGAUUUAAACCUUUUGAAAAUGUUGAAGACUUGAGACUUGUGUUGCAAGAAAAAUACCCAACACAUCCUAGUGUGGUCAUCAAUAAAUGUGAGAAAGAAUUUGUUGCCUCCUAGAAUAGUUAUCUGCAUUGGGCCGUAUAUAUCAGAAUGAAUAAGUUCUAGAGGUUGUGAUGCCCUCCAAACUUUUCCCUUGUCAAAUGAUUCCCUAUGACCCUUUCCUGUAGCACAUCCGGAGCAAACAUGCUCAGAAACUUGUAGUCUAGGUAAGCCCUGCACCAUUUCCUUCUCUUGCAGAAGCAUUAAACUAAUGUAGUUUAGAUGUCCAUAUCUUCUAUGCCACAACUGAGAUGACUCUUCAACAGUUGCUCUAUUAGCCAUGUGAGGAUUAACAUAUUCCAAACUUAAUGGAAAGCAUCUGUUCCCUUUCAUUGGAACACUUGCAAUCAGAUCUUCCAUCUGUCUAUCUCCAUAAAUAUCAACCAUGUAAUCACCAAACACAAGCCAAUGUCCAUGUUCUACCAUCUGCCCUACACUCAAUAAGUUUUCAUCCAAUCCAGGUACAAUUAUAACUUCUUUAAUAUACCUAGUCACACCUUUCAUCUCAAUCACCAAUGUGCCUUUGCCUAUUGACUGCACUAAAUCUCCAGUGCCCAUUUUAACUCUACACUUCACAUUCUUAUCAACAUCAAUAAGCAAGGAUUCAUGGGAGGUCAUAUGAUUGCUACAUGCACUAUCUACAUACCAUAUAUUCAUACUUCUUCCAAUAGUAGCAGAAUGGCAGGCAUAAAACAUGGUUGCAGAUUCUGUUACCUGAUUCGCAUAGUUUACAAGUUUUCCAGACUUGUUUGGUUGAUCACAAUCCUUGAUGAAAUGACGGAAACGAUUGCAUCCAUGACAUUUCGGCUUCCCUUUAAACCAGCACUCACCAUAGUGUAGUUUAUCACAAUGCUUGCAUUUUCCCUUAGACUGAUCAGAUUUUCCUCCUUGAUCAUAUUUGCCACCUCGAUUAGCAAGAUUCAGAGGUUUAGGAUCCCAUUUCUUCCCUUUUGAUUUCCAAUCCUUCUUUGGUUUAGAAUUACCAAACGAGAGAUUUGGUUGACUUCCUUUCGAAUUCAGAUUCAGAGUACUGAAAGCUCUUUCAAUGGUACUCUCAGCAUGUCUAUCAAGGCGUUGUGCAAACCCUCUUAAUGCUGCAAUCACCUCUUGUACCUCAAUAGUUUCAAUAUCCUUGGUUUGUUCAAUUACAUAACAAACAGGAUCAAACUCCUUAGUUAAGCUUAUGAGCAAUUUCUGAACUAAUCGUUCUCUGGGUAAAUCUUCCCCAUAACCCUUCAUCUGAUUUACCAACUCGAGAAGACGAGUGAGAUACAUAGACAGAGUUUCAUCAUCCCUCAUCCUUGUGUACUCGAAAUCACGGCGUAGACCCUGCAACUUGAUGGAUCUCACUUGCUUAUCACUAUGAAAUUCCUGAUGUAGGAUAUCCCAAGCACCCUUUGAGGUUUCUUCGUUUGAGAUUCUGGGAAAGAUGUCAUCCGAGACAGCUCCUUGGAUUAUACCCAGUGCCUUAGCAUCCUUCAUUAGCUUGUCGCUCAGAGAAACUCUCUCCGACUCCGAUGAACCUUCAUCUCCAAUCUUCUUAUCCUUCGAUUCUGAAAUUUCAAACCCCUUUUCAACUAAAUCCCAGAUUCCAUGUGAUUUGAAAAUAGUUCUCAUUCGAAUCUUCCAGAAUUCAUAGUUGUCACCAUUGAAUAUUGGAGCCCAAAGAUCACUACCACCAGAUCCAGCCAUUUGAGACUUGAAUCGACAAAACUGAGUCGGAAAUUUCACGUUGGAUUUCCGAGCACAGCACUCACAGAUCUUACGCCCCGAUUCCAGAUAGAACCUGAGCUCUAGAUACCAUGUUAAGUUUUAGUAAACUGAUAUAUACAAGAAUUGGAUUUUUAGAGGAAGCUGAAAAGACAGAGAGAGUGAGAGGCAAAGUUUCUUCAACUGCAACUCUGUUACAUUGCAGAGAGCAACAUUUCAUUCAUCUACAUUCCCUUCUUUUACAUCAGAAAUCAUAUCCGUUCAAUUACAUGAGCCAAUGUGAUUUUGACACAUGGCAGAACAAAGCAUAUGAGCCAUUGAAAAGAGACCUGAUCUAAAAUCACACACUUGGCAUAUGAGCACAAGUUAUCACAACAUAAAACAGCUACACAAUAGAACAAAGAUAAAAUAGAUAAGUAAAUCAUUUACUAACUUGAAAUUAGUAAGCAAUUUACUUUUCAACAGUUUGUUCCUACGUUUGAUGCUCUGAUUUUUAACUGCAUGCACAUUCUCUAACUGCAUGCACAUAAGGCCUUUUAUGGCCUAAAGCAGGCCUCUCGUGCCUAGUUUCAGAGGUGUAGUUCUUUUAUUAUCAAUUUUGGUUUCCUUCAAAGCUGGGCUGAUAAUUCUGUGUUCGUUGUUUUGGGUAGUGAUCCCUCUGCUUUUCUUUCUAAUUAAAAAAAAAUAGGUGUUGAAUAUGAUUUAAAAGACUUGGGCAAACUGCUAUUUUCUUCGGAAAAAAGUCUUUUUUAUGUGGCCGGAUAUUCAUCUCACCCGGACAAGGUACACAUUGAACAUUCUCAAGAAGGGAGACAUGCUUGAUUGUUUGACACGUACAUGUGGUACUGAGUUGGCUGGUCCAUGUUUCUAUUGCUAUUGUGGUGGAGGUCUUCAAUAUCUCACCAUGACAUUCAAUAUCGCCGUCGUCUCCUUUGCCGUUCAUAACGUUGCUCAAAUCAUGGGUCGUCCUACUUCUUUGCAUUUGGAGGCAGUUAAACAUAUUUUGUGUUACUUAAAAGGUACUUAUGGUCAUGGUUUGCCAAUAUGAUGUUGUGAUGCCUCUUCUUCUUUUUCAGUGUACUCUAACGCAGAUUGGGCAGCUUGUUCGGACACCCGUCAUUUUGUCACAGGUUUUUGUAUCUUCCUGGGUUCUAACUUGAUCACAUGGUGUUAUAAGAAACAACGAACAGCCUCUUGGUUAAGUACUGAAGCAAAGUAUCGUGCCCUAGUUUAUGGAUGUGCAGAUUCGAUUUGGAUAUUUUGUCUUUUAAGUGAGCUGUGGGUUCCUAUUCCUCGUCCAAUUUUUCUCUAAUGUGAUAACUGGAAGCGAUAUAUAUAUAUAUAUAUAUAUGUAUAUGUAUAUUUACUGUCGCACUUAACAUAUUGCUCUUGAUUAUCACUUUGUGCGAGAACAUGUUGCUAACACGCAUUAGGUUCAGUUUGCUUCUUCCGAGGUGCAGUAGUCAGAAGUGUUCACCAAAAGUCUAUCACAAUCGCACUUCUUGCUGUUGACUUUCAAAAUCCUCACUUCGCAUGUGCCUCGUUUGCGGGGUGAGUGCUAUAGAUAUGGUUGUUUGAAUUGUACUCCAUUCAUGAUUUGAAUUGUACUAUCGUGAUAAAUUCUUAUUAAUGUUGGACUAUCAGAAACUUCACAUGAUGCAUUUUUUUGGAAGAGAUUUUGUGACAACAAUUGUGGUAGUUUUCAUGUAUUCUUCAUCUUUUAAUUGGUCGAGUUCGGUGAAUCAAGCAUGGUUCACAUGGAAUCAAAGCGGAGCAUGUCUACUAAGAUACAAGCAAAAGGAAUGUAUGUCAUCUAUUCUCAUGACAAAGUGGGCAAAUUAUAUAACUAACCAAAAUGUUACUUCAUUAUAGUUGGUAAUUUAUAUUGCAUAAUAAAGGUUGCAAGAGGAAACCAAAUUUCAUUAAAGCAGUUACAAAAGCAGUUAUAUAUUACUAUAUUUAUAUAAUAUAUAGUAUUAUAUAGGUAAUCGAUCAUAUUAGAAGCUGUUGACAACUAAGUUUUGACAACUCUUAUUUCAAGGAAUCAUCUAGCUCAUAUUGACUCAAUUUUUAUGGAUAAUUGGUGGGGGUGGUCGCAAAUUGUUCAAACUUGGUGGUGGUGGUGGUGAAGGAAGAUUGUUUCGACCUGGGGAUGGUGGUGGGGGAGGAUUUUUUCGACUUACUAAAGGUGGUGGAGGAGGAUUAUUCAGAUUUGGUGGAGGUGGUGGUGGAUGGAUGUUCUGAGGUAGUGGAACUUGUGGGGGAUUGUUCCAACCACGUGAUGGUGGUGGUGGAUGACUGUUUUGACUAGGUAAAGGUGGUGGCGGUCGAUUGUUUGGCUGGGGUGGCGGUGGAUUGUUCUGACUUGAUGAUGUUGGUGGCGGUGGAUUGUUCCGACUUGGUGAUGGUGAUGGUGGUGCUCGUUGAGGAUUGUUUCGACCUGGUGAAGGUGCUGGAGUAGGGUUGCUAUGACUUGGUGAUGGUGAUGGUGGUAGAUUGUUCAAAGGUUGUGGUGCUCGUGGAGGAUUAUUUCGUCCUGGUGAUGGGGCUAAUGAUGGAAUGUUCUGAGGUGGUGGUGCUCGUGGAGGAUUGUUUUGUCCUGGUGGUGGGGCUAGUGGUGGAUUAUUUUGAGGUGACGAUAUUAACGGUGGAUUAUUCAUAGGCGGUGGUGCAGGCGAAUGAUUGUUUUUACCCGGUGAUGGUGCUAGUGGUGAAUUAUGUUGAGGUGGUGCUUGCGAAUGAUUGAUUUGACCCGGUGAAGGUGCUGGAAAAGGGUUGGGCUUACCAGGUGUAGGUGUUGGUGGUGGAUUGUUCUGAGUUGGUGGUGUUCGUGGUGCACUGUUUUGACUCGGUAAAGGUGCUGGAGGGGGGUUGCUUUGACCUAGUGUUGGUGUUGGAGUUGGUGGUGGAUUCUUUCCAGGGGGUGUUGGUGUUGGUGUUGGUGUUGGUGUUGGUGUUGGCGUUGGCGUUGGCGUUGGUGUUGGCGUUGGUGUUGGUGUUGGUGUUGGUGUUGGCGUUGGAGUUGUAGCUGGUGUUAGAGUUGGUGAUGGUGUUGGUGGCGGACUUUUUCUAGGUGGUGUUGGCGUUGGCGUUGGCGUUGGUGUUGGUGUUGGUGUUGGUGUUGGCGUUGGAGUUGGAGCUGGUGUUAGAGUUGGUGAUGGUGUUGGUGGCGGACUUUUUCUAGGUGGUGUUGGAGUUGGUGUUGGUGGUUGAUUUUUUUGAGGUGGGGGUGGUGGCGGUGGAUUUUUUUGAGGUGGCGGCGGUGGAGGAUUUUUCUGAGGUGGCGGUGGUGGCGGAUUCUUCUGAGUUGGGGGCGGUGGCGGUGGUUUGUUUUGAGGUGGCGGUGGUGGAGGAUUUUUCUGAGGUGGCGGUGGUGGCGGAUUCUUCUGCGGUGGGGGUGGUGGCGGAUUCUUCGGAGGUGGAGGUGGUGGUCGUCUCACUACAAUAGGAGGAAGAAAUGGCGGCUUGUAAAAUGGUGGUAGCCAUGGCUUGGGAAAUGGUGGUAGCCAUGGCUUAGUUAAUGGUGGUAUAAACAUUGAUGGCUUGUAAAUUUCGUGUCUUAUGGGAGUGACUUGUAGCUUGUCAUCCUCAUUGUAUUGGGCAUUGGAUGAAGUUGUGAUAAGAAUAACCACUACAAGAAAUAGCACAAACAACUUUAAGUAAGUCAUCUUUGCUCUUCUUGUGUUACAAAAUGAGAAGGGGCAUCAUUUUAUAGGGGCAAGAAUGAUGGGUUUUGUGUUAAUAAUUUUGGUCAAUAGGCAAUUGGUAAUUCAUAGGCUCCAAUUGGGGUAGUAUCUGCCCAACUGGUCUAAUAACAUUGCUUUUAUGGUAGGGGAAGCUGAAAUUUUUUGGCAUGCUUUAUAAAUUGUAUUCCUUAUUCCUAAAUUGUUCAACAAAAAAAAUAUAUAUUUGUUUAAAAAUUUAGUAAAAAAGGGGUGAGUCUUGCAAUCUUGCAUUCGUUUUAGUGGUAGCCUCAGGAAUUUUAUUCCAGGAAUUUUUUAUCCGUUACCAGUUACCAUUUCGAGUUUCAAAUCCCCAAAACUGAAGCGGUGUAGUCUAGCAAUCUUGUUCAAGUGUUUGGAAAAACACUAGAAAAGAUAGAAAAAUGAAUGAGUUUUUAAUUGUCUUUAUUAUUUAGGGAGAUGACAUACCCACCCAUCAACAUUAUUUCUCCACCCACUUUUUAAUGAUACUUUUAAUGACAACUCUAAGCUUUUGCAAAAUGACUUAUAAGGCCAUCUUUAACUAUUUUAUUCUUUUGUUUUUGUAUUAAAUUCUGAAAAUAGAAGGAACAAAAACAUGAGCCCAGCAAGUUGAAACCACCGCACACAACACAAACCAAGUUGAAUCCACCGUUUUCCUCAUCUCUUAUGUCAAUUCCUUCCCAUCCAUUCGAAAUCUUCAUCAAACACCAUAGGCCCAUUACAAUUACCUUAAGAAACCUUGAUAAUUGGAUUCUCUCAUACCCAUUUGACGUGGUUUUGAUACCCCUCUUCUACGAUUAAUCCUCUACUUGAGUUGUAAUUGCAGAGAGCGACUACGAGGUCGACCGAGGAUGUUGCUCAUCCUCAUAGUCUUGAUCAAAUUAGAGACAUAAUUGGCUGACAAUGAGAAGGGGGUUGCUUGCCGUCGAGUGGAUGGAUAUGUGGUGGUGACUAAUUUUCUUUGUAAGGGAUAGUUUAGGAAUAUCAGUGGGUGGGAAAAGAGUGUUUUUCAUUUUUACCUUUUGAGUGGGGUGGAAAAAUAAGGUGGGGUGGGGAAAGAGGAUUGUGAGGUGGGUCUAAUAGCUCUCAUUAUUUAAUACCAAGGUUAUCUAACUUAUUGGCAUUCGAUACCCCAUCAUUCCAACAUUUGGCUUUUGUAUUUAAAUCCAAUCAAUUUUCUUUUCUUCUUAAAUGUUUGGCCUUAAACUGUCAUUUUCCUCUUAAUCGGUCGUCCCUUUCUGUUCAACCUUUUUCUUUAUGUAAAUGGCAAGAGUUUGGCCACUGGGUAAUUGGGGUUUAGCCAUUGACGCUUGGACAUUUAAACUCUAAGCUUAGCAUAUAUGGAUGGGGUUAAGCAUCCUAUUCUCCAUCCCCUUGCUAAAUAUGUUGGCAGGAUAUGUAAAGACCAAGAAGCGUUUGGUGCUAAGGAUUGGAUUGAAAUGCAUAAAACAUUUCAAGGUAUGUUGAAAGAAAAAUUGAAAACAUUGUGGCCAACUUGGAAGUAGGAAUCAAUAAGACAACUUAGGGCUGAUUUGGGAUUGUGGUGUUUUUUUUUAUUUUUAAAAGCAACAUAUAAAAAAAAUCUGGAAUAUCAAAUAUGUUUGGUAAAAAAAAAAAAAUUUAAAAACUGAUGUCAAUAAUAGUAGAAAAGAAGAAGUAGAGCCUACCAUGCUUAUAACAAAAUUGUUUUUUUUUUAAAUAUAGUGAUCAGUGCCAAUUUAAUGAAAUUUUCAAAUGACAAGUAUACCCACCAAAUUUUACAAAAUUACAAUAUUUACCCUUACAUUAUUAUCUUUGGCAAUUAUUAUAUCACAUUAAAUAUCAUAUCUUUUUAGUCAUUUAGCAUAUUCACAACAAUUUUAUAUAAAAGUUUACCAAACUUUUUUUUUUUUUUUGCUAUAAGCAAUUUUACAAAAAAAAAAAGUUUACCAAACACUCAACAAUAUUUAUUUUACAGCUGUUUAUUCUCACAUCACAGUAGAAGCAGUUUAUUUUUAUUUUUUUAAGCACAACAAUACCAAACUAGCCAUUAUUCACUACAAUCAUUCCUAAAAUGGUAGGAUGAAAGGAGAAAUUUCAUUCAUGUUUAGUCCCCUUUAAUCUGAUCCUUUAUAUGAAACGAGACCUAAAUUCAAGAAUGUCAUAAAUAAAAUAGGUUCCGAAAAGCUAUACAAAUAUAACCACUUGGAUAUAUAUAUAUAUAUAUAUAUAUAUAUAUAUAUAUAUAUAUAUAUAUUAAUGGGCGGCAACUCCAGCCACGGGUCCAAGGCCAACAAAGCAAAGGCCUGGCCAAGGGAGGCCUCUAACUUCAAGAACAAGGGAAAAGCUACCAUUUAAUCGAAUUCCACUACAUUGGACAUGUGCUACCAUUGUGGAUCAAUGGACCAUUGGUCACGUGUAUGUUGAGCUACCCCUGAGGCUAUUGCCAAGUAUCAUUCCUGUCACAAGUCAAACUUUGCACAUGUGGAACAUCCUGACGAUACUACCACAACUAUAGAGGUUUCAAAUUUUCAGGCGGCAUCCACUUCUAUGGAAGAAUGAAGUUUAUUUUUCUAGACAUGUUCGGGUGGUUUUUACCCUUAGUUAUCGAACCCACUAUGGAAUAACUUGUUUGGUUUGGUUUGUUUUGAAUUAUGGAUAAUUAUGUCAUGGAUAUUAUUUCUCAAUUGAUUAAUUGAAUGAACACAAUUAUAUAUAUAUGCAUGUGAUCGAUUCAAUUAAUUUAUUUCUAGGUAUGACUAGUAGGGAAGUUAGUUGUCUGGCUGAUAGUGCUACAACACACCAUCUUUCGUGAGCAACACUAUCUUACUAACUUUGUACCUAAAAAUGCACCUUUGACAACUCUCUCAAGUUCAUCUAACCUGAUGGAACAAUACAGAAAGGCUCAUAUAAUGUUGUCUAAUGGUAUUGAAUUAACCAUAAAAAGACCUUAUAUUCUCCUCGUUUCGGAAAACGUUGCUAAGUUUUAGAGAUAUCCGAGAUAAUAAAUAUCAUAUUGAAACCACUGAAGAAAAUGAUUCUAAUCAUUUCUUACGAAUAUGGCUAGAAACGUAUUCACAAGAAGUUGGAAUGUUUUUCGAGUGGGUUGUACAUCACAACCAUUAGAGCCAUAGAGACCUAUCACGUGGACGACCCUAAGCUCGGGUUCUAGACCCUUUGCUGUCUUGGCAUGACCGGAUGGGACAUUCUAAACGAGAUAUGAUGCGCCAUAUCCUCAAAUCUUCACACGGGUAUCAUAUAACCUCUUAUAUCGGAUACCCGACUUGCAAAACAUGCCACUUGGGGAAGUUGAACACUCAACCUUCAUCUAUGAAGAUUAAUUAGAACCCUCCAAAGUUUCUUUAAAGGAUUCAAGGGGAUAUUUCAGGACCUAUCCAACCAACAUCCGGACCAUUUAGAUACUUCAUGGUGUUGGUUGAUGCAUUGACACGUUGCUCAUAUGUCCACUUAAUGUCCACACGCAACGCUGCUUUUGCAAAACUCUUAGCUCAAAUCAUUAAGCUUAGGGCUCACCACCUUGAUUAUAUGAUUUAGUAAAUUUGACUAGAUUAUGCUAGAAAGUUUACGUCACGGUCCUCUGAUGAUUAUUGCAUGUCAAUUGGGAUUGAAGUUGAGCAUAUUGUACCACAUGUUCAUACCGAAAACGGUCCAGCAGAAGCUUUUAUAAAGCGCAAUCGAUAGCUCGGACUUUGGUUAUGGGAACCAAAUUGCCGUUAUCUGCCUAGGGCUAUGCAAUUCUACAUGCAUCUAUGUUGGUAUGCUUGAAGCCCACCACUACCCAGUCUCUUUCACCGUUAUAGUUGGUCACUGGAUACGAGCCUGAUGUUUCGCAUUUGCGUGUGUUUGGGUGCCCAGUCAAUAUGUCAAUAACGACACCACUACGUACCAAAAUGGGUCCUCAGAAAAGAAUGUGAAUUUAUGUCGAUUAUGAUUUGCCAUCAAUUAUUCUCAACUUAAAGCCCUUGACAGGAGAUCUCUUUACCGCACGUUUUGCGGAUUCACUUUGAUGAGACAAUCUUGCCGCUGUUAGGGGGAGAUAAGAAUGUUAACGUUUCUAUAAAACGUCACAAAUUGUUGUGAUAUGCUCCCACUAUGUCUCAUUUAGAUCCCCGCACUGCCCAGUCUGAAACCGGAGAGCGUCAUAUUCUAGGUCUUUAGAGUAUUGCUUAAAGCAUGCCGAAUGCUUUUACUGAUCUAAAUAAGGUGACAAGAUCACAUAUACCAACUACAAACACACAUGCAAUGAUCGAUGUACUUUAGGUACGUUGUAACAUUGCCUCAGAAGAAUGACCCAUCCUCGAAUGAAGGUUAGCCGCACCUCCCACGCGGGUCAGUACACUGGUAGCUAGCCAAUUAUCUACUCCUACCUUGAAGCAUGGCAGACCUCCUAGUUCAAAGGAUUUACAACCACAGAAGAGGAAAACGGCACAAACUAGUGAUCCUAGUAUGAAUUCAACCAUCGCUUACUUAUAUGUUCCAACGUAUGAGGUUAUUCUAGAUUACGAUGAUGUCUUAGAUGAGACAAACCGGCCUCCCAAGAAUCGUGAGAUUCGGUCCAUUACGCAGUAUUGGAUGAGAUUUGAAAUCAGAAUGAGAUGAUCGUCGACGAUGCCUUUGCGUACACAGUAGCUAUUAACAUCAUGCUUAACAAUGACAUUGAACUACGUUCCAUUGAUGAGUGUCGAUGUAUAACUGACUGGUCAAACUGGAAACAAGCAACCCAAGUCGAACUUAAUUUGCUUACAAAACGUAAGAUGUUUAGGCAUGCAGCUCCUAUUCCACCACAAGUUAAGCUUGUGGGCUAUAAGUGGAUUUUUGUAAGAAAAUGUAAUGAGAAGAAUGAAUAGUGUGAUACAAAGCACGCCUCGUAGCGUAAGGCUUUUCUCAAUGCCUUAGAAUUAAAUACGAGGAGACAUACUUUCCCGUAAUGGACGUCAUAAUAUUUCGCUACCUUAUCAGUUUGGUAGUUUCUGAAAAACUAAAUAUACAGCUUAUGGAUGUGGUAAUCGCGUAUCUCUAUGGGAUCUAAAUAUAGAAAUCUACAUGAAAGUUUCUGAAGAGCUUACAUUGACUAGAUCAAAUAGUUCUAAACCAUGGAACACCCUAUCGAUUCAAUUGAGGAGUUCACUGUACGGAUUGAAACAAUCUGGGUAUAUGUGGUAUAACCGUCUAAGUGAACCUUUAACAAGUCAGGGUUAUGUGAACAAUGAACUAUGCUCAUGUGUGUUUUUUAAGAAGUUACAUUCUGGAUUUGUGAUCGUUGUAGUUUAUGUCGAUGACAUGAAUCUCAUUGGGAUUCUUGAAGAGCUUGAGGAAACUGCCGCUCACUUGAAAUUGAAAUUUGAGAAGAAAGAUCUUGAGAAAACUUGAUAUUGCCUUGGCCUGAAGAUCAAGCACUGUUCGGAUGGAAUCCUAGUACAUUAAUCGAACUACACCCAGAAGGUGCUGCGACGUUUUAAUGAGGAUAAAGUGAAGCCUUUGAGUAUUCAUGUGGUCAUUUGGACUCUAGAUAUUAAACGAGAACCCUUCAAUCCUAAAGAGGAUAAGGAAAAGAUUUUUGAGCCUGAAAUUCCACACCUAAGAACAAUUGGUGCUUUAUUGUACUUAGCUUAAUGCACUAGACCCAACAUCUCAUUUGUUGUAAAAUCUUUUGGCAAGAUAUAGCAAUGCGCCUAACGUAGGCACUGGAAUGGUGUCUAAUACAUUUUCCUUUACCUUAAGGGUACAACAGAUUUGGGUUUGCUCUACACCCAUGAAUCCUCGAGGGGAGCCGCUGCCCCUUUCGGUCUUUGGGUUGAUUCUCGCCUUGUUGGUUAUGUUGAUGAAUGUUAUCUAUCUAACCCACAUAGGGCACAUUCUCAAAUGGGUUAUGUCUUUACCAUUGGAGAUACCGUAAUUUCUUAGAGGUCUACCAAGCAAUCGUUAGUUGCGACUUUUUUUAACCAUGUUGAGAUUCUCAUCUUGCAUGAAGCCUCGCGUGAAUGCUUUUGGUUGAGAGCAAUCAUGGAACAUAUUCGAACCACUAGCAGUCUUUCUACCAAUGUUGAUGUUUCUAUAAUGAUCUUUGAAGACAAUGAUGCAUGUAUCGAUCAACUGAAGAAGGGAUACAUCAAGGGAGACAACACCAAGCACAUUGCAUUGAAGUUCUUCUAUUCUCACCAACAAUAACAACAUCAUAACAUCAAAGUCAAGCAAAUCCGUUCCCAAGAUAACCUAGCCGAUCUUUUCACAAAGUCAUUGCCCAAGUCUACUUUUAGAAGCUUGUCCAAGGAAUUGGUAUGCGUAAACUUUCUGAGUUGAAUAGCUUGUAGUUCUCUUAUUUGGAAGUUAUGUCAAACUCAGGGGGCCAUAAGCAUACUCACUUGAUAUUAAUGUACUCUUUUUCCCUAUGAUUAGGAGCAUUUUUUCCACUUAGUUUUUGCUACCUAACAAGGUUUUGAUGAGGCACCCAUCCUGGGAUGAUCAUACUUCUUUGAUGUUUACUACUUUUGUCUCGGAUGACGUUUGUUUUUUACAUUAUGCAUACUUAUCACUUUUCUCCUUAGUCUUUGGGUUUUGCACUUACCUUAGGUUUUACCAUAGCAAAGUUUUGUGAGUUUACUACCAAUGCAUACUUUCUUUAAUUUGAGAUUCGCAUUUGCUCGUUUUGUCGACGACUUCAUCAACUGAUCUACUUCAUCCGCUGAAGACCUGAUACGAUAUUUUGUUUGAGUAUUUACACAUUUAAGGAAGUGUUGUAGUCAUAUUUAUUAUAAGAAUGUGAUUGUGUAAAUCCUAUUAUAUAUGGGAUAUCUUUAGUAAAUUCUAUCAUAUCUUUUAGACUAGAUAUUAUUCUAUUGGGGUAAGGAAUGUACCUUAUCUACUACUAUAAAUAAAGGCAAAAUGGGGUGGAAUACCACACACCUCACAAUUACACAUCUCUCUUUUCUCUCUCUAUGUCGUCGGCCACCCCUCUCUAUCCCUUAUAAUUGUUCAGUAAAAUAGGCCUACAACAAAACUAAAUUUGUGGUGCCACUUAGUAUUACGAUUUAGUGAUACUUUUCUUCACUUGUAAGUGAGAGAUUUUUUUUAUUUUUUUUAUUUUUAACAAACGAUAUUAUUUAUACUAAAGAUGUGGGGUAGUGCGCUACGCCUCACUAUCUCGAUGUUGCAUUAGCUCAAUGUCGCCUUCGAUCUCUCGUCUGCAAUAUACUCCACUUCUCUUCUCUUCAUGAGUGAUUCUCACCGUUGAGAUCUGUAACUUUUCUCGGGGGCCAAAUCUCCCAUCACUUCUGCCGGGCAACCCUCUAUUCCAUCUAGCAGUAUUUUCUUGUUGCAGAAACGGACCAGAACCGAGCUGAUUCCUCGGGUACAAAUUAAACUUUGGUGACAACUUCCUAUGGUUGGUGCGGUUGUCAGUUCUGGCAACAAACCAGUCAGAACUCUGCCUGACAACCAGCAACAUAAUGGGCUGGAACCGUGCCCAGCUCUAAGUUAGAGUACAUGUUCCAUUGAAAAUGAAUGUGAAAGUAAUAACUAUUAUUGAAUGAAUAUGACAUAACAAUGUGAGCUUCGUCUGGGCCUCAAAUAAGAAGCGUAGUAAUUAAUUUUAUAUCUGUGAUCCUGUAUUCAGUUUUAUUUGAUAUUAGAUUCUCUGUGUGUGUCUCUUUGUCUCUAUUUCAUAUUUCAUAAUUGGUAGGUUUAAAUUUCUAGAUCUUUUAUUUCGAUACUUGAUUUUUGUCCAUUUUUAAAAGUGGAAUUAUGGCUCUCCUGCGGAUAUUUCAAAACCUAAUAUAUGAAAUAAAAAAUUCCUGUGCAGAUUAGGAGCUUUCCUUCUGCAGAGUUUUACUCGGAGUCAUUGGAGGAUGGUCCUAAUAUUAUAGAGCAGACACAACGUUCUUGGCAUGACUAUCGAUGCUUUGGACCCUUCUGCUUUUUUGACAUACAUCAAGGGAAGGAAUCCAAGCCCGAAGGAAGUGGUAGAUCUGUUGUGAAUGUUGCUGAGGUUGAUUUUAUCAUGCUCUUGUAUCAUAAUUUAGUGGAUAAAUAUCCAGAGCUUAAAUCAAGUCAGCGGUUCACGAUUAUAUCCCCGUAUCGUGGACAAGUAACUCUCUUCAAAGAACGUUUCAGAAGUACUUUCGGAGUGGAGUCUGACAAAUUCGUGGAUAUUACUACUAUUGAUGGUUGCCAGGUAUCGUGACUCAUUCUUUUAUGGAUUCCUUUGAAAUUCUUCUCAAUGCUAAUAGACUUUGUUUUCUAUUCAAAAGGUGAUCAGACGUUUUUAUUUUUAAUUCUUUGGAAGUUUUCAAGGUCAGUUUUUUUGGUGAUGUAAUACCGUGUUAUGUAGAGCUGUCUAGAUGUCGGAGUAUCUCAUUUUAUGUUGCAUAGAUUUGUCAAGGUGAAUGAUAUCUCAUAAUUUUCAUCGAAUUAUACCAUAAAAUAUGAUAUAAACGAUGACGAGGAGGAAAAAGGGGUGGGAGGAGCUCAUGUGACUGUUGGGGUAUUUGUUAAACAGAAACAUCAAAUAUUUAACAUUGGGGGUUAUUACUGACACUGCACUCCUCAAGGUGCAAUUUCUCUCUUAUGGUUUAAUAAGAUACGGGUGCACAAUGACCUUUUUGAAGUGCGAAUAACUUCUCCCUGAACUUUUAGAGACAAUUUUUUCCUAUUAUUCAAUUUGCGAAAAUUGAAAUGUUUGAAUAAAUGAUCUUUUAAUGUUUUUCUCAGGGACGUGAAAAGGAUGUUGCAAUAUUUUCAUGUGUCAGGACAAACGAGCAUGGAAAAAUUGGGUUUCUGUCUGAUUUUCGGCGAAUGAAUGUUGCGAUCACUAGAGCAAAAUCUUCUGUCUUGGUCUGUUAUCGUUUGAAGUUAAGAAUGAAGUUUCAAGUACUGUCUUACUUCAUGUAAUAUGCAUUUACAUAUUGACCUCUUCUUUUAAUCAGGUAGUGGGAUCUGCAUCAACAUUAAGGAAGCGCGAUGAGCAUUGGAAUAACCUUAUCGAAAGCGCUGAAAAGAGGGAUUGUUUGCUUAAGGUGAAUAUUCUUCCUGAGAAUAUGAAAUCACACACUAUUCAUCACACCUCGUGCUCAAUUUGGCCACACAUCUGCUGUGAUUGAUUCAUGUGUUUGGUUUUGUCCAACCGCAUAUGACGGUUCAUGUUGCUAAUGUAGAAUCGUAGGUUGAGCAUUUAAAACUUCACACCAGGUUCUUAAAUUUCUAGGUCCCACAACUUUUAUGUUUUAGGCCGAUUUUCCGUAACUUGUGGUCCUUUGAGUAAGCAAGAGGAAUAAAUUGGUCCAUGCAUCAUUUAGUAUCAACUGCAACGAGCGCUACGUUAAGAACUUUACCCACAUCUCUCUUCAUUUUAUUGUUCUUUUGUUUCUCUCAGACAUCAAAUUUACUACAUCUCUCUCCAUUUUAUUGUUCUUUUGUUUCUCUCGGACAUCGAAUCUGUCAUCUCUUUCCAGCCCAAUACUUAUCAUUUAUAUGUAUUCACAAACCUCUGAUUCAAUCGUAUGGCGUGUUCUGGCGAUUUCUGUAUUUGUAAUGCAGGUCUCACAGCCAUACACUUCAUUUUUCAGUGAUGAGAAUCUGGAAACCAUGGCUAUCAAGAAAGAAUUCUCAUUGGAGGAGGUUGAGAAUGAUGAGGUGGAUAACUAUGCAGGUUCAAACAAUUUUGGGGGUGCCGACCCGGCGGAGGGAGAGGAGAACGAUUAUGGAGACGGGGGUAUGGACAUGGAUGAUGGAGGCAACGGCGAUGACUGAGUAUCGAUAUGAUAAUGUUGCUUAGGUCAUAUGAAGUCGUGUGAGAUGAAAGUCUCAUGCACCGUUUUGAAUGAGAAAGAAGUGAGGAAUCCUCUUUUCAACUUGAUCCCCACUUCAGUUGUUGCUUUUCUUUCUAUUACUUCAAAAGUAGCUGCUUCAGCUUCAACCACCCGAAUUUUUUAUAUUCGUUUGGGUGGGAGACUUCUUGUGUAAGUUAAACUACCGUCAGCUAUUUAGAUGCGUCAAGCCCCACCCCCCACCCCCACCCCCACAUAUACCGAUUACCAUUACAAUGGAAAACAUAGUUUUGUCUUAACUUUUGUGCCGGUUAUCCUGACUACUAUUACUGUCUCGUCUUCACUUGUAAGUGAUACGUAUCAAGUUCGACUUAUAUGGAUGUGUGGCCGCUCAAGCCUUCAUUCCUUUAGAUAUAAAUAACUAGUAUCAAAAAAAUUUGUACUGGUUGUCACUAACAUAGCUGUUUAGUAGUAAUUAUUUUAUCACUUACAAGCUGAAAGCCUUGAGAGGACUCUUAAACACUUGUUGCUGUUUAGUAGAAAACUUUUGUAGGAGUUGUAUUUUGUCUUAUACGUAGAAUUAACGUUUCUAAUUAGAAACGUUAAGUUUUCUACUAAAGUUUAGUGACAACCGUUACUGUUUCUUACAAGAAUAGACAAUUAAGGGUGUGUUUGUUUGCCUUCACUAACUCUCCUUGGAUUGGACUGGACUAGUUAUUAGUCCAAAACCGUGUUUGUUACACGUAGGAAUAGAUUUAAUGAGAUUAGAGCCGACUCGUUCCGACUAAGUCCUUUGUUAGAAGGUCUUAGCGAGAUCCCCCAAUAAGCACGGGAUUGCUAAGAUCGUUCGUGUCCUUGUCCAGUUGUUCUCCUUGCUUCUUUGUUCUGGUCUGGUCAACUGACCUCGCCAGACCACCCCACUGACAGCGAUGGCGACGAUUGUUGACGAGAUGCACUUGUUUUUGGCUCCGCACUUCUUCGACUUGUUCAUAAAGGACAAGAGCGAAGCUGAGUCUACCAUAGAAAGCUCUUCACUGUCGGCUGCAUGGCCAUUCACGUCGAUUGGAGGAGGGGAUGAGGGUGGGUCAUUGGAGAAAAGAGCUUGCAUGAGGAGACGAUGCUAGGCUCGCAACUGGAGGUUUGAUUCGAAGAUGGAGGAUCUUAAUUACGUAGAGGUCUGAUAGACUGAUUCGCUUCUUUCCAUUUUCCCCCCAUUUUUUAUUUUUUAUUUUUUUAUCUUUUUGAUUUAGGGGAAAUUUAUUUACAGUGUGGAUUUAUUGUUUGGUUUGAUUUGAAUUGGGCAAAAUCUUUGGUUUUUUUUUUUUAUAUAGCAAACGAACUUUUGGAGUGGAUUAUGAGUUAAUUAGCAAUUUCUCCUCCUGCGUAUAUUUCAAUUUAGGAUUUGAUUGUAGGUUAUUUAGAAUAUGAUGUUGUUGUAUGAAAUUUUGUUAUGAUUGUAUACGGUCCAUUUUUCAUUGUUUUCGUUAUCCCAUUUCUUAGUCCAACAUUGAUCAAAUGCUUUAUCAAGUUAGUCCAGCUUAGUCUAUUCUAAGUCAGUCCAGCUUAGUCCCAGAAGUUAAUCCAGUCCGAGAUAGUCCGGUACAACAAAUGCACCCUAAGUGUGACGCAUCGUGCUAUAAUGAAUAGGGAAAUCGAAUGACUAUUUUGCCUUGUUAUUAAGGUUUUGGAGGCAAUCUCCUUGGUUGAUGUUAGAAGGCGCUUUAUCGAGGCAUUAGCUCUGCAGUUUGGGAGACCAGUGGAAGCUGAUUCGGUAGGCAUCCUAGGCAUGUAAUGCUCUCUGCAAAGUUCUAGAAACGUUAAGACUAAUUGUUCAUAUCUAAUUCAUAAAACUUAUUAAGUCUUGCAUGUUUAUGUUUAAUUUAAACAUCACUGAUGGAUUACAUGUUAAGUGUACGUAAUUACUUGAACAUCACGAGGAGAUUAUGCAUUAAGAAAACUUAACCUUUAAAGUUGCAUGUUUUAACUCAUAAGUAAUUUGUAGAACUGCGUAUGAUUGUUAAUGGUAACGGCUAAACCCUAAUACUUUUCACAUUUGAUUUCUCUCCAAAUUUUUUUUUUAUUUUAUCUCUCAUUGCCCAUUUUUGUUAGUCAAAUUUAAUUAUUUAUUUUCUGUUCUUUUACUUUAAUUCACAAUUUCAAAUCUUUUCCAAAACUUAUGUUGUAUACUUAACUAAGAAUUGGUUUCAAAUACAAAUUAUUCAUAUUGAUCCGAUAGAGAACGACCUUACUUGAGCUAUUUAUACUAUAAUAACCUUGUUCUCUUAUAAGUAUUUUUAUGUAUUUUAAUUCCUACUUUUGCAAGUGGUAAAAAUCCUACCAUUCUCAACAUCAGCAUGUUUGAAUCUGAAUUAGUUUGCUAGCCAGAAUUAGUUGGCCAGCCAGUCCAAUCCAGUUCACUAGCCUAGUCUAAUCCAUUCUUGUCUAGUCUAGUCUAGUUCGCUAUAAUUGCUCUUUGCUUGAAAGCUCGCUUGAAUUGUCUUGCCUUAUCGGCCUAAUAGAGCUUGCAUCCGCAUCUACUUGUUGGCAACUCAUGUCGUGUACCGUCAUGAAUUUGACACGGGGUGUUGGAAUAUUAGUUAUUAUUUGAUUGUCUAGGUUUGGGUCACACCUAUAUGAUUAGGAUUCUUUAGAUUCUGCAUUCUAUAAAUAUAGCUUGUAGUUUAGUAUGAGAAUUAAGUCAAUCAAGAUGUAAGCCUUAGUUUAUAGCCAUCUCUGCAUUCUUAUUAUUGUUUUCCUGUUAAUAAUAUUCAUAAUUUAUAAAUUGUUUGUUCUUACGUUUGAUGCUCUGAUUUUUAACCGCAUGCACAUUCUUUAACUGCAUGCACAUAAGGCCUUUUAUGGCCUAAAGCAGGCCUCUCGUGCCUCGUUUCAGAGGUUUAGUUCUAUUGAUGCACAAAACCGGAGGUCUUGGAACAACGUAAAUCCGACCAUGAAUUUGCAAGAAAGUAAAUAACACAAGAUGUAUUGUGGUUCGCCCCAAUGUUUGGGCUACGGCCAUACUGAUAUUGUAUUUCUUUGUUUGUGAGAGGAUGAGAGGGUGAGAGCUUCUGAGGGUGAGAGAGCUUUUCCCAUGGCCUAACAAUUGGUCUCUCUCAAUGAGGAGAGUGAGAGGUCCUUUUAUAGAAUAAGGGCUCCUCACUUAUUAUAUAUUUGCCCCUUCAUUUAUUACAUAAUUACAUUUGAGUCCUUCGAGUAUUUAUACGAGAUCUAAAUACGGAGGCCUUAAGUAUGGUAUAAACAGUAGUCCCCCAAGUCUUCAGUCAAGAGAGUCUUUUGGCUGGAGACUUGAAAUUCAGUCCAUGUGUGGGCCGAAGUAACUAGAUGUCGUCUAGAACUGAAUACUCGAUAUGAGGCGGUGCUCAAUGUGAAAUGAUGCUCAAUUAGAAGUAGCACAUGUUGCGAGACUGCUCUACUUGUGGCUUAUGUUGCCUUGGUUGGCUCGGUUUGUGGCGUUGAAGGUGAGGGAGUCCCUUUUAUAGAAUAAGGGCUCGUUCCUCAAUACAUAAGUGAUGGGCUAAGAGUUGAUGCUCGCGGCGAGACGGUUGCUUGGCAGGUGGCGAUGCUUUCUAAUGAUGGUGAGGGAGUCCCUUUUAUAGAAUAAGGGCUCGCUCUUCAAUACAUAAGUGAUGGGUUAUGAGUGAUGCUCGCGGCGAGGCGGUUGCUCAGUAGGCGGCGAUGCUCUCUAAUGAUGAUGAGGGAGUCCCUUUUAUAAAAUAAGGGCUUGCUCCUUAGUACAUGAAUAAUGGGUUAGGAGUGAUGCUUGCGGUGAGUCGGUUGCUCAGUAGGCAGCAAUGCUCUCUAAUGAUGGUGAGGGAGUCCCUUUUAUAAAAUAAGGGCUCGCUCCUCAGUACAUGAAUAAUGGGUUAGAUGUGAUGCUCGUGGCGAAGCGGUUGCUUAGUUGGCGGCGAUGCUCUCUAAUGAAGGUGAGGGAGUCCCUUUUAUAAAAUAAGGGCUCGCUCCUCAGUACAUGAAUAAUGGGUGCUCUCUAAUGAAAGUGAGGGAGUCCCUUUUAUAGAAUAAGGGCUCGUUCCUCAAUACAUAAAUAAUGGGCUAGAGUUGAUGCUCGCGGUGAUGCGGUUGCUCAGUAGGUGGCGAUGCUCUCUAAUGAUGGUGAGGGAGUCCCUUUUAUAAAAUAAGGGUUCGCUCCUCAGUACAUGAAUAAUGGGUUAUGAGUGAUGCUCGCGGCGAUGCGGUUGCUCAGCUGGCAGUAAUGCUCUCUAAUGAAGGUGAGGAAGUCCCUUUUAUAAAAUAAGGGCUCGCUCCUCAGUACAUGAAUAAUGGGUGCUCUCUAAUGAAAGUGAGGGAGUCCCUUUUAUUGAAUAAGGGGUCGCUCCUCAAUACAUAAAUAAUGGGCUAAGUCCUCUAAGUAUUUUUCAUGAGGCCCAGUUGUGGAAGCCUAAUAUAUGGUACAUAGUGUAGUCCCCCAAGUCUUUAGUCAAUAGGGUUUGUUGGCUGGAGACUUCAAAUUGAAUCCAUGUAUGGGCCGAAGUGACGGUUGUUCGAAGGCGGUAUUUGUAUACCCUGCACUGAAGCUUUGUAGGUGAAGCUUUGCAAGUGAAGCUUUUGAAGCUGGUUGACAUGAGUGAUGCUCAUGAAUGUUUAUAUGAGUGAUGCUCAUGAAUGUUGACAUGAGUGAUGCUCAUGAAUGUUGACAUGAAUGAUGUUCAUGGAUGUUUAUGUAUGAUUGACAUGAGUGAUGCUCAUGUAUAAUUUUGGAGUAUUGGAUGUACUUUUGAUCACCUAGUGGGUGAUAAUAGCGGCAGGCUGCCGAAUAAUUUUUGAGUACUGGGCGUACUUUUGAUCACCUGGUUGGUGAUAAUAGCGGCAGGCUGCCGAAUAAUUUUGGGAGUACUGGAUGUACUUUUGAUCACUUAGUUGGUGAUAAUAGCGGCAGGGUGCCGAAUAAAUUUGGAGCCAUAGGGCCUGGCUCUUUUGGGCAUAUGGGCCUUCGCCCUCCACAUAACAUUCCAGCCCAUUAUUUUGGGCUUGCCGUUUUUAUUUUUUAUUUUUUUAUUUUUAUUUUUUAUUAUUAUUACCCUCUGAUAGGGUUAUACAGAUAUCUGCGAAAGAUAAGAAAAAUAAAUUACAUCAUUCAAAAAUAAAUCCGAUCCUCUACUCAAUGGGUCACGCCCAUAAUGCCAUCACCACCGCAAUUAUGUCUGCUUUUUAUUUAUUUAUUUAUUUUCAUCUUCUUUUGCUUUCUGCUUUUCUUUUCUGCUUUGCUUUUGCUUUUUCGACAUGUGAGCACAUGAUUGCACCACUUGCAAAUGCUCAAUAAUUUCUCAUUAUUCCAAACUGCUGCAGCAACGUGACUCUUAAAGCUAUUUAGCAAUGAUGUAUCUGUUGGCCCUCAUGGAAAAGGCUCUGUCUCUUCAGCAUCAUCUUCACAAAUCAGGUUGUCAGAUGAAGACUCUAGUAGCCCAAACUGACUAGCCCAUCCUUCACGAGCGCAUCCACACCAACUCCUGAAAUGGAAGAAUUCUCUUCAUUUGCUAUAAAGACUGCGACCACAGUUGACUUUAAUUUUGGAUUUGUCUCAGCCAGCCUUCUCAUGAGCUCAGUUAGAAGUGCAACAUGACCCAAACAAUCAGUGGUUCCAAGGCCACGAAGUUUAUCUCAUUCGAUGCUCAAUGAGAAUGGAUCAAAUUCCUAGUCUUUGGGGUUAGCAGUGACGGCGUCCAUGUGAUAGCCAAUAAAGGACAAGAUCUUCCCUGGAACAGUUCCUGGGUUGGUACCGAUGAGUACGAGCUUAGAGAAGAGUUCGGAGCGACGGAUGGAGGCGACGACGUCCAUGUGAUAGCCAACAAAGGACAAGAUCUUCCCCGACGGCUGGAGAUGGAAUGGGGUCGGGUUCUUGGAUCGAACCUGGGAGCGGACUGGAAUCAAUUGGGGAGACUCGACCCGGGGACAAGAUCCGACGAGGGUCUAUCUGACCCACCAAGCCCAAUCCGGAUUUUGGGCUCUGAGGCGAGUUGGGGACGGAGAUGCAGGUGUUUUGAGGUCGACACCAGAAGGAACAACAGAGGAAAAAGCUCCGAUUCGCAAUUGGCGAGGACGAUGAAAGUCGGAGGAGGAAGAGGAGGAGGCUACCAAUAAACUGGAAGCAGAAGCAGCCUUUGCAGCCAUGUCCAAGCAGCACAUCGCCAUGCCUCCCUCUCGCUCUCACUCUUUCUCUCUGGGAGUCUGUGUCGGUCUCUGUUGGACUUGUUGCAACUGCUGAAGCGCUGAUGGUUUUUUGAUUUGCCUGAGGUGGUAUUCUCAGUGUUGCAGAGAGAGCAGGGAGAACUCUGUGUUUGUGUCUCUGUGUGGGUUUUGCAGAUCCACGACGGAGGUGAAAAAAUGAAAAAGAACCGACAUAACUUUUUUGUGUCGAUUCCCACAGACGGCGCCAAAUGUUGAUGCACAAAACCGGAGGUCUUGGAACAACGUAAAUCCGACCGUGAAUCUGCAAGAAAGUAAAUAACACAAGAUGUAUCAUGGUUCACCCCAAUGCUUGGGCUACGUCCACACUAAUAUUGUAUUUCUCUGUUUGUGAGAGGAUGAGAGGGUGAGAGCUUUUGAGGGUGAGAGAGCUCUUCCCAUGGCCUAACAAUUGGCCUCUCUCAAUGAGGAGAGUGAGGGGUCCUUUUAUAGAAUAAGGGCUCCUCACUUAUUACAUAUUUGCCUCUUCAUUUAUUACAUAAUUACAUUUGAGUCCUCCGAGUAUUUAUACGAGAUCUAAAUACGGAGGCCCCAAGUAUCGUACAAACAAGUUCUUUUAUUAUCAAUUUUGGUUUCCUUCAAAGCCGGGCUGAUAAUUCUGUGUUCGUUGUUGUGGGUAGUGAUCCCUCUGCUUUUCUUCCUAAUUAAAAAAAAAUAGGUGUUGAAUUUGAUUUAAAAGACUUGGGCAAGCUGCUAUUUUCUUCGGAUAAAAGUCUUUUUUUAUGUGGCCGGAUAUUCAUCUUACCCAGACAAGGUACACAUUGAACAUUCCCAAGAAGGGAGACAUGCUUGAUUGUUUUGACACGUACAUGUGGUACUGAGUUGGCUGGUCCAUGUUUCUAUCGCUAUUGUGGUGGAGGUCUUCAAUAUCUCCGACGUCUCCUUUGCCGUUCAUAACGUUGCUCAAAUCAUGGGUCGUCCUACUUCUUCGCAUUUGGAGGCAGCUAAACAUAUUUUGUGUUACUUAAAAGGUACUUACGGUCAUGGUUUGCCAAUAUGAUGUGGUGAUGCUUCUUCUUCUCUUUCAGUUUACUCUAACGCAGAUUGGGCAGCUUGUUCGGACACCCGUCAUUUUGUCACAGGUUUUUGUAUCUUCCUGGGUUCUAACUUGAUCACAUGGUGUUACAAGAAACAACGAACACCCUCUUGGUUAAGUACUGAAGCAAAGUAUCGUGCCCUAGUUUAUGGAUGUGCAGAUUCGAUUUGGAUAUUUUGUCUUUUAAGUGAGCUGUGGGUUCCUAUUCCUCGUCCAAUUUUUCUCUAAUGUGAUAACUGGAAGCGAUAUAUAUAUAUAUAUAUAUUCACUGUCACACUUAACAUAUUGUUAUCCUCACUUCACAUGUGCCUCGUUUGCGGGGGGAGUGCUAUAGAUAUGGUUGUUUGAAUUGUACUCCAUUCAUGAUUUGAAUUGUACUAUCGUGAUAUAUUCUUAUUAAUGUUGCACUAUCAGAAACUUCACAUGAUGCACUUUUUUGGAAGAGAUUUUGUAACAACAAUUGUGGUAGUUUUCACGUAUUCUACAUCUUUUAAUUGGUCGAGUUUGGUGAAUCAAGUAUGGUUCAUAUGGAAUCAAAGCGGAGCAUGUCUACUAAGGUACAAGCAAAAGGAAUGUAUGUCAUCUAUUCUCAUGACAAAGUGGGCAAAUUAUAUAACUAACCAAAAUGUUACUUCAUUAAAGUUGGUAAUUUAUAUUGCAUAAUAAAGGUUGCAAGAGGAAACCAAAUUUCAUUAAAGCAGUUACAAGAGCAGUAAUAUAUUACUAUAUUUAUAUAAUAUAUAGUAUUGUAUAGGUAAUCGAUCAUAUUAGAAGCUGUUGACAACUAAGUUUCGACAACUCUUAUUUCAAGGAAUUAUCUAGCUCAUAUUGACUCAAUUUUGACGGAUAAUUGGUGGGGGUGGUCGCGUAUUGUUCAAACUUGGUGGUGGUGGUGGAGGAAGAUUGUUUCGACCUGGGGAUGGUGGUGGGGGAGGAUUGUUUCAACUUACUAAAGGUGGUGGUGGAUGGAUGUUCUAAGGUAGUGGAACUUGGGGAUUGUUCCAACCACGUGAUGUGGUGGUGGAGGGCUGUUUUGACCAGGCAAAGGUGGUGGCGGUCGAUUGUUUGGCUGGGGUGGCGGUGUAUUUUUCCGACCUGGUGAUGUUGGUGGCGGUGUAUUUUUCCGACCUGGUGAUGGUGGUGGCGGUGGAUUAUUCUGAGGUGGUGGUGCUCGUUGAGGAUUGUUUCGACCUGGUGAAGGUGCUGGAGCAGGGUUGCUCUGACUUGGUGAUGGUGAUGGUGGUCGAUUGUUCAAGGGUGGUGGUGCUCGUGAAGGAUUAUUUCGUCCUGGUGAUGGGGCUAAUGAUGGAUUGUUCUGAGGUGGUGGUGCUCGUGGAGGACUGUUCUGUCUUGGUGGUGGGGCUAGUGGUGGAGGAUUCUUGUGAGGUGGGGGUGGUGGCGGAUUCUUCGGAGGUGGAGGUGGUGGUCGUCUCACUACAAAAGGAGGAAGAAAUGGCGGCUUGUAAAAUGGUGGUAGCCAUGGCUUGGGAAAUGGUGGUAUAAACAUUGAUGGCUUGUAAAUUUCGUGUCUUAUGGGAGUGACUUGUAGCUUGUCAUCCU
rnacentral:lncRNA from 1 species